CACGUAACCUCGCCUCCGGGCGAAGGAACACCAACCCUUUGUUGUCCGACCGCGUUGCCUCCGGGGCGACCCUGACCCUCGGGUCUUGGGGACCCCGGUGGACACCUAAACUCUGCGUAACUUUGUAGUCCGAGUAAACAGUUAAUAAGUU
rnacentral:misc_RNA from 1 species